rnacentral:rRNA from 1 species
UACGUAGGGUGCAAGCGUUGUCCGGAAUUAUUGGGCGUAAAGAGCUCGUAGGCGGUCUGUCGCGUCUGCUGUGAAAACUCAGGGCUUAACCCUGAGCUUGCAGUGGGUACGGGCAGACUAGAGUGCGGUAGGGGAGACUGGAAUUCCUGGUGUAGCGGUGAAAUGCGCAGAUAUCAGGAGGAACACCGGUGGCGAAGGCGGGUCUCUGGGCCGUAACUGACGCUGGAGGAGCGGAAAUGCAUGGGGAGCGAACAGG